rnacentral:tRNA from 1 species
UAAAGCUCAGCAGCAGAGCACUUGCCUAGCAUGUAAGAGGCCCUGGGUUUAAUCCCUAGUA